GACGAACGCUGGCGGCGUGCUUAACACAUGCAAGUCGAACGGUGAACCUCUUCGGAGGGGAUCAGUGGCGAACGGGUGAGUAACACGUGGGCAACCUGCCCCCGGCUCUGGGAUAACUCCAAGAAAUUGGGGCUAAUACCGGAUGUUCACCGCUUCCCGCAUGGGUGGUGGUGGAAAGGGUUUCCGGCUGGGGAUGGGCCCGCGGCCUAUCAGCUUGUUGGUGGGGUAGUGGCCUACCAAGGCGACGACGGGUAGCCGGCCUGAGAGGGUGACCGGCCACACUGGGACUGAGACACGGCCCAGACUCCUACGGGAGGCAGCAGUGGGGAAUAUUGCGCAAUGGGCGGAAGCCUGACGCAGCGACGCCGCGUGGGGGAUGACGGCCAUCGGGUUGUAAACCUCUUUCAGCGGGGACGAAGCGCAAGUGACGGUACCUGCAGAAGAAGCACCGGCCAACUACGUG
rnacentral:rRNA from 1 species